GUACAAGUCCAUGCACAGAAGCUGUUGCAUAUUUCCCAUGUACCAGAGGUCAAACCUUGAGAGAUGAGCCCCAUGGGCACAGAACUUUUCAAAUUCUGGAUUAGAGGAAGUGUCAAUAUUUAUUUAGCUUUUAAGUACAAAACACUGUGA
rnacentral:lncRNA from 1 species